rnacentral:lncRNA from 1 species
UUUUUCUUUUUAAUCUUUAUUGGUUUUUCUGCUUACAAAAGUAAUACAUGCUGGUUGUAAAAAAAAAAAAAAAAAAAAAAAUUCAAAUACUAGAGAAAUAUGUAACAGGGCAAAGAAAAUGCCCUCCACAUGCUCAGCCUUCCAGGAAGGAAACAAAAAACAAAAAAAGACACCUCAACAGAUUUGUGCAAAUGAGAGAUUCUUUUCCAAACAGAUCUUUGCUGUUUUUUUUUUUUCCCCCACCAAUACAAGCAAAAUUGAUAGACAUCUACACGGGUGACAGAUAUUCUAUCGUAAUUGCAGCCAAGGUUUGGUCCCUAGCCAUUUUCUUGGCAAGCCAGAAGUCACCCCAAAGACAUAUAGUCCAAUUUGAGAUAGUGCAGGUGCUGAGGAGAAAGCUCACUUGGUAAAGCACUUGUCUCUCAAGCAUGAGACCCUGAGUUCAGUCACUAGUGCCUCUGUUAAAAAACAAAAACAAACAAACAAACAAAACCUAGGUGGGUGGGGAAAUGGAGACAGAGGAAUCCAGGCCUAGCAAUAUUGGCAAGUUCCAGGUUCGGUGAAAACCCCCCAUCUUAAAACCAAUACAGUUGAGAGCCAUGGAGGGAGGCUCCGCCCUCAACGUUUGGCCUCCCUUGCGCAUGCGCACAUGUGUUCAUGGGUACUCCCACAAACACAAGGAGAGCAGUGAGGAAUGAUGGGUAUGAACAGAGUCCAUAUAUGCUGCGUUCAUUUUUCUGAACCAAUAGAAAAACUUCCUCCAUCCCACGACUGCUUGUGACAUGCUACACUGUUGCUGCAGCCAAGUGCUGCCGUGGCGGCCAGCAGGAACCGCCUUUCAGCAUCCCUAGAAAAAUAAGCAGCUUUUCUCUAUCCCUGCUUCGCAGAGAGCUUAGACUCUAGAGGAAAGAAUUUCAUUCCACUAUAAGGCAGGACUCUGUAUCAACGACAACAGUAAAAAUAACUAGUAGUUAUCAAAUGUGGAGUCUGAAAAAAAAAUGUGGGGUGUGCAUGCAUCAAACGACCACCACGUUGAAACAGCUCAGAAGGGCCACCGUUCCUACCCUGUAUCUUCAACUGGGAAGCUGGGAUCAGAGGGGUUAACUAAUGUGCUUAGGCUUAAGAACGGUAACUUGAGGUGAGUCACUGGACGGUCAAGCAUUCUACCUGGAAUUCUGCAAAACAGAGAGGGUAGCCUAAACUGCGAAUGGUGACCUUCAGCUAUAUGCUAGGCAGGUAAUUCCCAGGACAGGCUACUGGCAUGAGUUCCUUUAAGAUGUAGGCUUCUUCCAGUUGCUGAGGGAGUGUCUCUUGAUCCUCCAUGAAUGAUUAUGGACCAAGGGCAAGCUCAUGGAUAUUUAUUGUUCAGGUGGUUUGGCUUGGCAGGACUGUAUGAGAAAUUGUUUCUAUAUUUUGUGUGCGUAUAGGCACACAUACGGUGGUCGGAGGACGACUUGUAGGAGUCAUGUCUCUUUUACCGUGUGGAUCCUAGGGGCUGAACUCGAGUUAUCAGAUUUGGUGUCAAAGGCCUUAUUCCUCUGAGCCACUUUGCAGGCCCCAGAGUUGCAUUUGCUCUUAAACAAUCUUCUCACCCAUAGGAGGAACCAAUGCCUGCCUCUCCCAUCGAUUAGAAAUAAAAAGCAUAGCGUGCUGAGCACCCUGCUCAAGGAUCACAUGGAUUAACUGGCACACUGGCAUUCCCAGGCUGUCACUCGUCAGCUCCAGAAAUCUGCCUCUGCCAGUGUGGAGAUCCUGCCUGAAUUACUUAGAGUGCACAGAGCAAAUUAUUUAGACAGUAGGAUUUGGGGUGGGGUGGGGGAGCAGAUAAAUGUUCAUAGCAAGAUUGUUCCCUGCAAGGCUAAUCUGGAACCAUACAGCCAUAUCUGCUUUCUAGUGGUCUACUGCUCAAUGAUAUUGGCUGGGAGGAAUCCACAUGUGCUGUAGAUUAAUCUGUGUCCAUGUGAUUGUCAACCGUGGUGGUAUCUGACAGAGAACAUCCUUUGGAAUGCUGGCUGAGUUCACGUGUGUAGUAGAUACAGGGGCUAAGACACAGCAUUUGUGCUGAAAGAGUCAUGGUUGAGAAUGGAAAGGCUGGAUGGAUUUGGGGGAGGGGGUGUGAAGGGAUUUUUAUCAUUCUUGUUGAAAUGGCCAUGUUAUGAAGUAUCUGGGAGGCUAAGACUCUGAUUUUCCCCUCUGUGAUUCAUUUGAGUCUGUCUGUUGAAUGGCAGUAGGGCCGGGGAGGGCUUCUGCAUGCUGGGGAUAUUGAACAGAGAGGUGAGUAAGGGCCCUGCUCCCGGUCGUGAAUGUUUGCUGUGAGAAUGUCAACAUGUGUCAUCAGAUGACAUUCAGAGGGCUUGUGGUAGGCGCAGGUGCAUUUUCUUCAUCUCCCAGAGAGCACGCACAGCUGAAAUUAUCUUCUGAGAUAAGACAGCCUUGCAGGGGGUCAGCUAGCAGAGCAGAUUAAUCCGACCACACAGAAGAGCUGAACCUUGUUCUACAGAGACCCUUCAGUCCCCGCCUGUGAGGUGCCUGGAGAAGCUUGUUCUCACUAAUUCUGAUUCUUUAGCCUGCACUGCCCACUGAGGCUAAGCACAGCCUUUCCUAUGACUCUAACAAAGAUAUUGAGAGGAACACUUAAUAUGAGGCCUUAUGCUGUGUGACCCAAGGAAGUCAAGCAAGCGAGGCUGGAAAUAGGGUUUUUUUUAUUAAUACAACUCUAAGCAUUCUAAGUUGCAGGAGUACCGUUAGGAGGCAGUAGGCCUCCAGAUGAUAUCAAAGAAUUUGAGUGAGAUUCUGGACUGUCUCUAACUCUGGGCAGGGGAGAUGCCUCAGUGGUUAAGAGUGCUUGCUGCAGGCCAGGCAUGGUGGCGCAUGCCUUUAAUCCCAGCACUUGGGAGGCAGAAGCAGGCAGAUUUCUGAGUUCGAGGCCAGCCUGGUCUACAGAGUGAGUUCCAGGACAGCCAGGACUACACAGAGAAACCCUGUCUCGAAAAAACAAAAACAAAACAAACAAACAAACAAAAAAAAAAAAAAACCAACAAAAAAAAAGAGUGCUUGCUGCUCUUCUAAAAGGACCUGAGUUGGGUUCCUGCCCCCUGUGGUGGACAAACUCCAGCGACAGGGAACAGGAUGCCCUCCUCUGGUCUCUGGAGGCAUCGCUGUCACAUGCAUACACCCACACACAUCACAACCAAAUCUUGGAUGAACAAACAUGGGAUACGGUGCUGAAAAAAAUUACACAGGAAAGGACCAUCCUUCUAGAAUAGCUGGCAGUCAGCACAACACUUAUGCUCAUCUUCUUGGGAGUUAGCAGGUUUGCUUGGUUUAUAAUAAACUCAGUAGUUUUGAAUAUUUGGAUAUGUUAUUACAUCAGUGCAUCAAGUACCAAAGUCAGUGGUUACAGAAAAUACAUAUCCCUGGAUAUAGUAUUUCAUCAGAAGACAGUAGGCUAUAUGUUUGUGCAUAUGUGUAUGUGUGUAUGUGUGUGUGUAUUGUAUACAUUGCACAACAGAGUCCCUGGAUGAGACCAUUGCUUUGUGAGAGGCAUAAAGCUGCCUAGAUAUUGCAUAAGAUGAAAUUGACUAUGGAACUUGCUAUCCUGUGUUUUUGACUUGGUAGGUGAUGUGCUGUGGUAAUAGCCAGUGGUGAAAGCUUUGGAAUGUAAAUGUAGCACAACAGAGCAUUCUGGGUAAAUGGGGGGGGGGGCACAGUUCACCACCAUCAUUUGCAGAUCCGCCUUGGCCUCCGUGAUUUCACAUAUAAACCCAAUUUAAGAGAUGAGUUAAAUGUGAAAUUUUUUCCCCUCAUGUAUUUUAUUCUGUAUAUUUCAGUUUUUCAAUUCUACUUUUUCUACCUCUACUGGAAAUACAGUGUAUUUAUUUAGAGAUAUGCCUGGCUAGGACAUAAAACUUUGGUGUCAUAUUCUUAAUCAUUUGGUUUUCCAGAGGCAAGAAGCUUUAAAUAAUCAAUUGCAUAAAAAUACAUGGAUACUGC